GGCCUAUUAGCUCAGCUGGUUAGAGCGUGGUGCUAAUAAUGCGAAGGUCGCAGGUUCGAGUUCUGCUUGAGCCA
rnacentral:tRNA from 1 species